UUUAGAAUGUAAACUCCAAAACGGAAGCUAUUUAGCUCGUUCAAAAACUAUAGGAUAUAAUUUUUUGCGUUCUUUUUAAUAAACGAUGUUUUACGAUCGUUUCCUGCCCAAUUCUAGGAGAUACCGUCAAAAUCUCCCUGCCGAUGUUGGAAAAAGUUAAGUGAAAUGUAGAGAUUCCGGGAACUUUUAUAGGUUAUUGCUAGCAGUGAUUA